rnacentral:rRNA from 1 species
GUAGUUUGAUCCGUGGCUCGAGGACGAACGCUGGCGGCGUGCUUAACACAUGCAAGUCGAACGGGGGAUUAGAGUGGAAGUCCUUCGGGGUGGAAAUUCUGAUUCUAGUGGCGGACGGGUGAGUAACGCGUGAACAAUCUGUCCCAGACAGGGGAAUAACACUUGGAAACAGGUGCUAAUACCGCAUAAGACCACGGUGCCGCAUGGCAGAGGGGUAAAAGGAGAAAUCCGGUUUGGGGUGAGUUCGCGUCCGAUUAGAUAGUUGGUGAGGUAACGGCCCACCAAGUCGACGAUCGGUAGCCGACCUGAGAGGGUGAUCGGCCACAUUGGAACUGAGAGACGGUCCAAACUCCUACGGGAGGCAGCAGUGGGGAAUAUUGGGCAAUGGGCGAAAGCCUGACCCAGCAACGCCGCGUGAGCGAAGAAGGCUUUCGGGUUAGUAAAGCUCUGUUAUAGGGGACGAAGGAAGUGACGGUACCCUAUAAGGAAGCCCCGGCUAACUACGUGCC